GAUGAAGAACGUAGCGAAAUGCGAUAAUUAAUGUGAAUUGCAGAAUUCAGUGAAUCAUCGAGUCUUUGAACGCACAUUGCGCCCCCUGGUAUUCCGGGGGGCAUGCCUGUCCGAGCGUCAUUGCUGCCCUCAAGCACGGCUUGUGUGUUGGGCCCCCGCCCCCCGGUUCCCGGGGGGCGGGCCCGAAAGGCAGCGGCGGCACCGCGUCCGGUCCUCGAGCGUAUGGGGCUUCGUCACCCGCUCUUGUAGGCCCGGCCGGCGCUUGCCGACACAUCAAUCUUUUUUCCAGGUUGACCUCGGAUCAGGUAGGGAUACCCGCUGAACUUAAGCAUAUCAAUAAGCGGAGGA
rnacentral:misc_RNA from 1 species